AGCAGCCGCGGUAAUUCCAGCUCCAAUAGCGUAUAUUAAAGUUGUUGCAGUUAAAAAGCUCGUAGUUGAAUUUCGGGGUUAGCAGGUCGGUCGUGCCAUCGGUAUGAACUGGUCUCGCUGAUCCCUCCCUCUUGACGAACUGUGAUGCCAUUAAUUUGGUGUCGCAGGGAAUCAGGACUGUUACUUUGAAAAAAUUAGAGUGUUUAAAGCAGGCUCACGCUUGAAUACAUUAGCAUGGAAUAAUGAAAUAGGACGUUUGAUCCUAUUUUGUUGGCUUCUAGGAUUGACGUAAUGAUUAAUAGGGAUAGUUGGGGGCAUUAGUAUUCAAUUGUCAGAGGUGAAAUUCUUGGAUUUAUUGAAGACUAACUACUGCGAAAGCAUUUGCCAAGGAUGUUUUCAUUAAUCAAGAACGAAAGUUAGGGGAUCGAAGACGAUCAGAUACCGUCGUAGUCUUAACCAUAAACUAUGCCGACUAGGGAUCGGAUGAUGUUAAUUUUUUAAUGA
rnacentral:rRNA from 1 species